UGGCGUGUAGCAUUGCGGUGAUGCAACUGACUUCGUGUGAGAUAAGAUGCAGGUUCGACUCCUGUCACGUCAA
rnacentral:tRNA from 1 species